UACGGAGGAUGCAAGCGUUAUCCGGAAUGAUUGGGCGUAAAGCGUCCGUAGGUGGCUAUGUAAGUCUGCUGUUAAAGAGUGAGGCUCAACCUCAUAAAAGCAGUGGAAACUACAUGGCUAGAGUGCGUUCGGGGCAGAGGGAAUUCCUGGUGUAGCGGUGAAAUGCGCAGAUAUCGGGAAGAACACCCGUGGCGAAGGCGGCUCUCUGGGACGGUACUGACGCUGAGGUGCGAAAGCGUGGGGAGCAAACAGG
rnacentral:rRNA from 1 species